rnacentral:rRNA from 1 species
GGUUGAUCCUGCCAGUAGUCAUAUGCUUGUUUCAAAGAUUAAGCCAUGCAAGUCUAAGUAUAAGCUAAAUUAUACGGCAAAACUGCGAAUAGCUCAUUACAACAGUUAUAAUCCACACGAUGAUCAUUACUAUAUGGAUAUCCAUGGUAAUUCUGGAGCUAAUACAUGCUACAACACCCGACUUUACUGAAGGGUGGCAGUCAUUAGUUACUCAGACCCAACCACGCUUGCGUGCUUUUGGUGAUCAUAAUGAUAGAGCGGAUCGCAUUUAUGCGACAGUUCGUUCGAGUUU